rnacentral:rRNA from 1 species
AUGUCCAGCAGGAUGGAGGACCAAAGUGUGCUACAGCGUAUACUUGAUGGAGACGAGAAACCGACGGCUCUGCCAUUUGCACUGCUAGAGCAGAUCACGGGUAAUUUCCGUGAAGAGCAAAAAAUUGGGCACGGUGGAUUUGGAGAGGUCUACAAGGGAGUUUACAACGGAGAAGUCAUUGCUGUGAAAAAGUUUUAUGACGUGCAAGCACUUGACAACAAGCAAUUCGAGAAUGAGUGUGUUAACCUUCUAAGGAUCAGACAUCCAAAUAUUGUACGGUUAGUCGGCUACUGUUAUGAAAAAAGCCAUAAAUAUGAUGAGUACAAAGGUGAACUGCGGUCAAUUCAAUACAUAUAUAGAAUUCUCUGCUUCGAGUACCUGGAGGGAGGAAGCCUAGACAAGUAUCUCAAAGAAUCUCGUGACCAUGACUGGCCGACACAUUACAAUAUAAUAGAGGGGACCUGUGAAGGUUUAAAUUUCCUUCACGGGGGAUGUGGAUCACCAAUUCUGCACUUGGAUCUAAAACCUGGGAACAUACUACUGGAUAAGUACAAGGGAGCAAAAUUAGCAGAUUUCGGGUUGUCAAAGUUCUUCAGUAAAACACAUAGUCAUAUCACAACUACAGCUAUAGGAACAGAGGAUUAUAUGCCACCAGAGUUCAGGAUUGAAAAUCUGGUCUCAUCAAAGAAUGAUGUUUACAGUUUAGGGGUUACAGUUAUAGAGAUAAUGGCUGGCCAUGGAGGCUACUCGAGAUAUCGUGAAAUGGAUGAUGCCACACAAUUUAUUGAGCUGGUAAUCACAAAUUGGCGUGAAUGGAUAAAUGCAACAACAUCACGGUUUCCAUCAGCAGAAUUAGAUCAAGUGAAGACAUGCAUUAAAAUAGCAAUAAAAUGUGUGCAUCCUGAAAGAAAGAAUAGACCCACUGUAGCAGAAAUUUUGGAUACCAUGCAGGAGACAGAAAAAAGGUUUCUGGAGGAAUGGAGGAAUGACACAGGAUUUCCCGUGGGACAGAGCUUGCCCACUCCAACUAAGACUGAACCAUGGGGUGGAAGUGGAGGUGAAGUUGUUGAUAUCAAAGAAGUUCCAUGGCGCCUGCACAGUGUCACAAUUAGUUACCAAGGGUUAAUUGAUGCAUUCUCGUUUUCUUACAUUGACCAAUCUGGGAAGAAGCAACGUGUAGGUCCUUGGGGUGAAGAGUACAGUUACCACAAAACUGAAACGAUCCGAUUCUACCCUACGGAGUUUGUCAAGGAAGUAUGUGGAGCAUAUGGGAGCCAUGGUGAAAACAUUCUUGUGACGUCCCUUAUGUUUGUCACCAACGUCAGAACAUAUGGACCAUUUGGAAAUCUUUAUCAUCGAAAUGUGGCAGCAAGUACUUUCAGGUUCAUGGCUGACAAGGGCAGCAGCAUUGUGGGGUUCCAUGGCAGAUCUGGCAGCCAUCUCUUUUCGAUUGGUUUUUACAUGUAUUCCAAUGAUAACACGGCGGUCAGGACUGCUUCCAAACCAGUGAUUCUCGAGGGCCAGAGAAUCGAGGCACAUGAGCAUGGAGAUGUUGACAAGCUCAUCGCGAGUAGAGAAGACACCAGCAUGCGAGCUGAGGAAGUCCCCGAGUCGAAAAAGAGAAAGAUUUCCGUGUCUACUUUUGGAAAGGGCAAACAUGGUAGCAGCGAAAAUGCAGGGGCAACAUCCAUGGACACCACUUCAAGCAUGCGAGGACUAUCUACUGAGCAAACAGAGGUGAAAAAGAGAAAGAUUGCCGAGUCUACUUCUGGAAAGGCCAAACUUGGUAGCAGCCAGAAUGCAGAGACAACUUCCAUUGACACCACUUCAAGCGAGCGAGGGCAAUGUACCAAGCAAACAGAGCAGUGUAAUUUGCACCCAUUGCAAAGUUUUUCGCGUCAUUAUCCUACCAACUCCACAUACCUAGGAGAAAAGAGUCGAGCCGUGGAUCUCACAAGGGGGGCUAUGGGAAGCCUGCUUGACAAGCUUGGCAAGCUUGUCACAGAGGACUACAAUCUUGAGAAGAGCAUGAAGAGAGAUAUCGAGUCCUUCUCAGAAGACCUAGCGAGUAUUCACAAAGACCUCUCCAAAUUGGAAAAGCUUGAUGGGGUCAAGAUUUGGGUUGAUGAAGUCAGGGAACUGUCAUAUUACAUUGAGGAUAUGGUUGACAGCUUCGUAGUGCACGUCGAGCCGAAUCCCAACAGCAGUGGCUUUAGGGAGCUCAAAGACAAGGGACUAAAGCUCCGGCAGAAUGGCAUGAUAACUCAUGAUCAGAUUGGUGAUGUGAUCAGACACAUCGAGAACCAAGUUCAAGUUGUGGUCCAGAGGAGAAAGAAGUACAACUUUGGUGUCAACAAUGUUGUAGCUAGUGCAACCGCCAAAGCUCCCAUUGACCCUCGGAUCUCUAUAUAUAUAAAUAAAAAACAGCUCAUUGGAAUAGAAGCAAAAAGAGAGGAGGUAAUAAAGUUGUUUGAGGAGGAUGAUGAUGAUGUAACAAAGCAAGAGCUCAAAAUAGUCUCGAUCGUCGGGUUGGGUGGAUUGGGAAAGACCACACUCGCCACAGCAGUGUAUGACAAGCUUAAGUCACAAUACCAGUAUAGAGCUUUUGUUCCGGUGGGUCAAAAUCCUGAUGUGAAGAAAGUUUUAUUGAGCAUUCUCAUGGAAUUUGGAAACAAAGCCAAUGCACAGGACUUGGAAUUGGAAGUGUGGCAGCUCAUCAACAAACUGCAAGAAUUUCUUGAGGAUAAAAGAUACCUCUUAGUAAUUGACGAUAUAUGGAAUUAUGAAGCAUGGGGUUCUAUUCAAUCUGCAUUUCCAGAAAACAGCCUUGGCAGUAGAGUGAUCACAACAACAAGGAUUCGUCGUGUUGCUCUUGGCACUUGCAAUGCCGAAGACAAAUAUGUUUAUAGAAUAAAACCACUUAGUGAUGAAGACUCAAGAACACUAUUUCUUAGAAGGACAUUUGGUCCCGGAAAAGAUUGCCCUGAUGCACUGAAAGAAAUUUCAACUGAUAUUCUUAAAAGAUGUGAUGGUAUGCCACUAGCUAUCAUUAGUAUAGCAAGUCUUCUAGCUGGUGAGGAAGAGUCAACCUGGGAUUCCGUAAGAAAAACUUUGGGUGCUUUGACUGAACAAGAUGGUCUUGAAAAGAUGAAGCAAAUACUUGAUCUCAGCUACAUACAUCUUCCUGAUCAUCUUAAGACAUGUCUACUUUAUGUUUGUAUGUAUCCAGAGGAUUGCGAGAUAUAUAAAAAUGAUUUAUUGAGGCUAUGGGUAGCGGAAGGUUUGGUGGUGAGCAAAAAUGGUAGGUUGGAUGCAGAGGAUGUUGCAGAAAACUACUUCAAUGUGCUGACCAACAUGUGUAUGAUCCAAGCUGGGAAGAUAGAUGACUACACCAAUGAAGUGUUAUCAUGGAGAGUACAUGAUAUAAUUCUUGAUCUGAUGAGAUCCAAAUCAAGUGGAGAGAACUUUAUUCAUGUAAUUGAUGGCUUGAAAGAUGUGACAGCGGCACACACUGAGAUCCGUCGAGUCUCGGUCCACUACAAUGAUAAAGAGGAUAUGGGAACUUUGGGAACAAUAAAAGGGUCACUUUCACAUGUUCGGUCAGUGUUCCUGUACCAAAGCUCACUUAUGCCUUGUUUUCUGCAGCACAAGUAUGUCCGAGUUCUACACCUUAAAUAUAAGGCAGAUUCUAAAUGUCUAGACCUCACUGGCAUUAGUAGGUUCUUUCUCCUAAGGUAUUUAAAGGUUUCAUGUGAUAGUUAUUCUGGCUAUGAGGUGAAGCUACCUAACAAAAUUGGGGAGCUACAACAACUGGAGACAAUAGAUAUAGAAGGAGCUUUACUAAAAAAUUAUCCUUCUGAUCUUUUUAAUUUGACUUCAUUAUCGCAUCUCAGAUUGACAGGCUGUAUUUCUGAUACACCGUGUCCUGACGGUAUCAGCAGGUUGAAAUCCCUGCGCACCCUAGUAGGUGUACAUGUGUAUGAUAGCUCAGUAGAGAUAAUCAGCGGCCUCAGCAAGCUGACCAACUUGAGAGAACUUCAUAUCCGGUUUCAUGGAAUUCACUCGAUGGAACAGAAUACUGCUUUGCACUCCUGCAUCUUCAUGCUUGCCGCCAACAUCAGGAUCCUCAGUAUCAGAAGUGGAUUUGCUACCAUACCAGAUGUCAGAGGCUGGCGCAGUUCACCGUUUCCUCGGGUUCCUCAUAUUCGGAAGCUUGAUCUGUUUGGUUGCGAGUUUCAAAGGUGCCCCGAAUGGAUUGGUCAGCUCCACGCCCUCACCGAGUUAAAUAUUGUGGUGAGGGAGGUGGCCGAUGGUUUGAGCAUAGUUGGAGGGCUUCCUUCACUUGCCGACCUCUGGUUGGGAAUUGAUUCAAGUAAAGAUGAAAAGGAAGAAAGUGUGGUCAUCCCUGGCGGCAGGGCAUUCAAUGCACUCAAAUGUCUAUAUUUCUAUUGUAGAAAGGUGUCACUGACCUUUGAAGCAGGGGCUAUGCCCAAGCUAGUGAAGAUUCGGAUAAUGUUUCGUUUCCACAUGGCUCGCCGAUUCUUACCAGUUGGCAUCGAGCACUUGCCAGCUCCCACCCUAAAAGAAAUCAAUUUAGUCGUGUAUUGGAACGACAGGGAACCGAAAGGUUCUGAUGGCUGGGAAACGGAUGACUGGAAAGCUUACUUUGAAUCAGAUGACUAUGAUGAGAAACUGUUGCAUCAUACAUCAAAGUUAAAGCGCAUGUUCAAGAGAGCAUUUAAGCAGCAUCAUCCCUACGCUGACCUCGACAUUUACUUCUACGAGGGUUAUGAGGAUGAAGAAUACGACGAUGAAGAAGACAACGAGGACCAGGGCGUCGAGGAAGAAGAAGAUUAUUAUUCUGAGGAAGAUGAUGAUGAUUCUUAUCAAGGGAAUGGAUCACAAACUUCGGCACAAGUCCAAGAUAACACAAGACAAUUAGCAGAGCUUAUUGAGGCCCAGCAAGGCUCUGCUGGGAUGAGGAUUACUACUGAUGAGUCUCAAAUGGUGGACACGUCAUUGCAUCUUGCGAUCGGAUCGGAGGGGCAGCAAAGCGGACGGGAUGAAGAUGAUGAUAAUGAAGGUGAGGAGGAUGCUGAUGACAAAGAAGAUGAUGACGAGGCUUCAUCAUAUCCAGGAAAUAGAUCUCAAACUUCAGCACAAGUCCAGGGUGAUCACACAAGGCAAUUAGUUGAGCUAAUUGGGCAAGAUUCUGGUGGGAUGAGUAUUAACACUGAUGCGCCUCUGAAUCUGAUGGUGGACACGUCGCUGCAUCUUUCAGUCAGGUCAGAGGGGCGUCAAAGCGGCGCCGUUUUGGUAUCCUCGCAGCCGUCUCCUACACACCCGCUUGCCCAUUGUUCUCCUUCCCCCUUUGAUUGGCUCACACUAGCACUAGGCCGUCCUCUGUACGAUGCUCUCUUAGUUCAGCAGGGUAAAAAUGACCACCUUGUUAAUGGCAGAGUUUAUUGUGGUGAAGAAGUUGAUGAGGCUGCUCAUCAAGUGAACGGAUCCCAAACUUCAACACAAGUCCAGGUUAACACAAGGCAAUUAGUUCAGCUGAUUGAGGCGCAGCAAGAUUCUUGUUGGAUGAGAAUUACUAUUGAUACAGCUCGAGUGGUGGACACGUCGCUGCAUCUUGCGGUCAGAUCAGAGGGCCAGCAAAGCGGGGGCGUUCAUAUUUCUUGA